rnacentral:rRNA from 1 species
CAUGUCUUUUUGAUUAUAAUAUAAAGUCUGACCUGCCCUAUGAAUUAAAUUUUAAAUGGCCGCGGUAUUUUGACCGUGCAAAGGUAGCAUAAUAAUUAGUUUUUUGAUUGAGAACUGGUAUGAAAGGUUUGACGAGGAAAAAACUGUCUCAGUUUAAUUUAAAUUAGAAUUUUAUUUUUGAGUUAAAAAGCUUAAAUAAUUUUAAAAGACGAGAAGACCCUAUAGAAUUUUAUAUUAAUAUUUAUAUUUAAAAGUUUAAGUAUUAUAGAUUUAAAUAUAAAUAUUAAUAUUUAGUUGGGGCAACUAAAAAAUUUAAUUAACUUUUUUUAUAUUAAAACAUUGAUAUAUGAAUAAAUGAUCCAUAUUUUUAUGAUUAUAAGAUUAAAUUACCUUAGGGAUAACAGCGUAAUUUUUUUUUAGAGUUCAUAUCGAAAAGAAAGUUUGCGACC